AGACUUUCUAAACAGUGAACGUUGCACAUUUUGGCAUUUGGCCUGACCCGACAGGCAGCAUUUGUUUCCGAAGGGUGACGCUGAUGUCAGAUGGUGAUCGGGGCUGCAGGAGGAAAGGGUCCAAAAUGCCGAUGCCCCCGGGAGCCAAGCCGGAUGUGGCCCCAUCUCACACUCCAGGCUGUGUGUGCCCCACGUGUGCUGGGGACAAGCAGACAGACCCUGUGGCCGACUUGGCAGGACUCCCGGAGGAACAGGCAGGAUUCAAACACCCUUAGCUUGCUCCAAAGCUCACCUGGGUGCGUUUCCCACUGAGAACAAGAAUCAAGACCAAAGCCUCAGAUGAAACUACAGCCUCUGAGCCUGAAAGGGCUCCUGCUGGGGAACGUAAAAUGAGGCAGCCAGUUUGGAAAACAGAUUGGCGCUUUUUCAUGAAGUCGAACAUACGCUUGCCAUAUCAGCCGCCAGUUCCUGGGUGUUGACCCAAGAGAAAUGAACACACACACCCUCCACGUGAUCUGUACGUGCACGUGGCAAGUGCCGGAAACAACCCAAAGCUACUGAGAAAAUAAUCCCAGGUGUCCGUACGGUGGAAUCCAGCAGAAUGAACUUCCGAGGCAAACAGGAAAGUGGAUGCGUCUCCGAGGCGUCGGGCUGAGGGAGAGAAGCCACACUCAAAAGGCAACGUGCUGUAUAAAUCCCUUUUACGCUGCGUUCUGACACCGGUCAGUAAACGUCUAAACCUUGCCCCUCACCCAGAUUUGGCUCCUCCUUCCAAAAACUCUUUGCCUGGACUGCCCUGCGGAACUGACCUCAUUCCUCUGGGGUGGCGUCACCCCUCCUUCAGCACCCAUUUGCUGCACAGAGUCCCCCGCCAGGCUCAGGGACGGCGAGCCCACCAUCAAAGAGCUCACAGCCUAGAGCAGCAGCGGACAUACAGAUGACAAGUCGCUGUGGACCCUAGACGAGAGGCCCCUCACUCGAGGGAGAGGGAGAGGGUGUCCAGAGCCUUCCUGGAGGUGGUGACUCUGCCCUGAGCCUUCAAACACAAGUGGGAAAGCGUCUAGUCUCUCAGCAUCAGGGAUGACGCUCCCUGUGGGUUUUUUGUCCGAGUUGGGGAGGAUCGCUCCUAUUCCUGUUUUGCUGAGAGCUGUUGUCAUAAGUGGGUGUUGGAUUCUGUCAAAUAUUUUUUCUGCACCUACAAGUAUGAUCGCGUGGUCUUUCUUCUCUAGCCUGACGAUGUGAUGCCGUACAUUUAUUGAUUAUCGAAUGUUGAUCUAGCCUCGCCUGCCUAUGAGUUGGGUUUGAUUUGCUCAUAUUUUGUUAAUCAUUUUGCAUCUAUGUUGGUAAGAAAUAUCGGUCUGAGUUUUCUUUUCUUGUAAUGACUUUGUCUUGGUAGUAGGGUAAUGUGACCUCAUAGAACGUGUUAUAAAGUGUUGUCUCUGCUUCUAUUUUCUGGAACAGAUUGUAGAAAACUGAUAAAGUUUCUUCCUUAAAUGUU